rnacentral:rRNA from 1 species
AUUGAACGCUGGCGGCAGGCCUAACACAUGCAAGUCGAGCGGUAACAGAGAGUAGCUUGCUACUUUGCUGACGAGCGGCGGACGGGUGAGUAAUGCUUGGGAACAUGCCUUGAGGUGGGGGACAACAGUUGGAAACGACUGCUAAUACCGCAUAAUGUCUACGGACCAAAGGGGGCUUCGGCUCUCGCCUUUAGAUUGGCCCAAGUGGGAUUAGCUAGUUGGUGAGGUAAUGGCUCACCAAGGCGACGAUCCCUAGCUGGUUUGAGAGGAUGAUCAGCCACACUGGGACUGAGACACGGCCCAG